UACGUAUGUCCCGAGCGUCGUCCGGAUUUAUUGGGCGUAAAGCGAGCGCAGGUGGUUUAUUAAGUCUGGUGUAAAAGGCAGUGGCUCAACCAUUGUAUGCAUUGGAAACUGGUAGACUUGAGUGCAGGAGAGGAGAGUGGAAUUCCAUGUGUAGCGGUGAAAUGCGUAGAUAUAUGGAGGAACACCGGUGGCGAAAGCGGCUCUCUGGCCUGUAACUGACACUGAGGCUCGAAAGCGUGGGGAGCAAACAGG
rnacentral:rRNA from 1 species